AUACGGAGGACGCGAGCGUUAUCCGGAUUCAUUGGGUUUAAAGGGUGCGCAGGCGGGAGAUUAAGUCGGCGGUGAAAUUUUGCAGCUCAACUGUAAAAGGGCCUUCGAAACUGGUUUCCUUUAGUGUAGAUGGAGUAGGCGGAAUUUGUGGUGUAGCGGUGAAAUGCAUAGAUAUCACGAGGAACUCCGAUUGCGCAGGCAGCUUACUAAACUACUACUGACGCUCAGGCACGAGGGCGUGGGGAUCAAACAGGAUUAGAUACCCUUGUAGUCCACGCAGUAAACGAUGAUUACUAGCUGUUUGCGAUACAAUGUAAGCGGCUGAGCGAAAGCGUUAAGUAAUCCACCUGGGGAGUACGUUCGCAAGAAUGAAACUCAAAUGAAUUGGCGGGG
rnacentral:rRNA from 1 species